UGAGAAGAGGAAGAACUUGUGCUGGGAGCAUAUUGUACUUUUAUCUUAAUCAAAAAGAGACACCCAAGCGUCUCCUGUGAGUGCAAGUAGACCUAAUCAUCCCUAAACAUAUGUUGAAACAGUGUCUGUAGUGGAUGAGAUCUUGGAAGCUCUGAGCCACCCAGCAGAGAGGUGGGUUAUUAGAAUGUCAGUGUAUCAGAGUUAGAGUGCUGUCUAAAUUAGACUGCAUGCUCUUGCUAAUCCUCAGAUGUUUCUCCAUUGAGUGCGAGAGGUUUCCUUUGUCUGAGGCGAUGGACAAGUCAAACAACAGUGAUCUCCAGGCAAAACAGCACAUGUGCUUGUGUGAACUCAUACAGAUCGUGUCAGCAUGUACUGGGUCUGUUCAAGCCAGAUGGGUUUCCAGAAAUUAGAUGAGGGAGUAAACACUGUCAUCCACUCCUAACCACGAAGCUGUCUGCAAUUGGUAAUUGCUUGAGAAGGAAAAAUAGUUUUUUCCCACUGGAAUCUCAGCAGUGCAGGCCACAUGCCCAGGAGCAGUUGGCCAACACAAAACAAACUUAAAGAUAAGUUUAGUCUUCACCCCUCACUGAGGAAACUUGUUCAUGGAACAGGCAACAAUUACUACAGAAAACCACAUCCAAUCAAAAUACGACAUCAUAAAGCCCAGUCCCAGUGUUUACAUCUGCAAAACACUCUGACGAAUUGCCAGCAUCAAGAGGAACAUCUUUGCUUGAACUUAAGUAGCCAUUACUUACAGGUGUUUUCCGAAACAAAACAAUAGUUCAGAGUGGAAUGUUGAAGAACAAAGGAACAGCACAUUUGAAUACAAUUACAUUUUAUAUUGAGUUAUUUUAGCCCAGAUUGCUGUUCACGUUUCCUUUGAUUAUACAUGUAUCACAAUUUCUUAUUCUGAUAUUGAUAGUCAAUUAACUUCCCCAAUUACAAAUUUGAUUCCCUAAAUAAAGAUAAUAAGAUUA
rnacentral:sRNA from 1 species